UUUAGGGAGACCAUCUAAUAAUAGACCGAACCUAAACAAUAGGUCGUUAUUAGUCAUCCCUGGUCGUUCGAGGAAUAGAUGUCAAAGCUUUCAAACUAUUAACUGGUUCGGAACUCGCGGGCUAUUAGCUCAGUUGGUUAGAGCGCACCCCUGAUAAGGGUGAGGUCCCUGGUUCAAAUCCAGGAUGGCCCACCUGGAAAAAAGUGAUGAAUUGUCAGUAAUGAGAAAUGGAUAAUCAAAAAAGAUUAAUUCAGGACUCAUAAAAUCCAAAUCAGAACUUACAAGUGUGGGGGUAUAGCUCAGUUGGUAGAGCGCCUGCCUUGCACGCAGGAAGUCAGCGGUUCGAGUCCGCUUACCUCCACUCUCACUAACUAGAACCAACCACAAAAAACCCAAAGAAAUAGAAAUCAGCACCCAGACUAACUUGAUUAAAAUCAAAAAAGAAGUCGGAAUGCUGGAGUCUAGAACUCUAGUCAGAACCUUGAAAACUGCAUAGAAAUUAAGUCAUCAAAGCGUGUAGGAUGUCAUCCGAGCAAUCGGAGCAUCCCACAAGCGACCACCAUGAAAAAAUCAA
rnacentral:tRNA from 1 species